rnacentral:rRNA from 1 species
AGGGUUUGAUCCUGGCUCAGGAUGAACGCUAGCGACAGGCCUAACACAUGCAAGUCGAGGGGCAACGGGGCGUAGCAAUACGCUGCCGGCGACCGGCGGAUGGGUGAGUAACGCGUAUGCAACCUGCCUUCAGCAGGGGGAUAGCCCGUUGAAAGACGGAUUAAUACCCCAUAACACAGGGGCUCCGCAUGGAGAUUAUUGUUAAAGGGAUACUUCCUUCGGGGGGUAUUCCGGCUGAAGAUGGGCAUGCGUUCCAUUAGGUAGUUGGUUGAGGUAACGGCUCACCAAGCCUACGAUGGAUAGGGGAACUGAGAGGUUGGUCCCCCACACUGGUACUGAGACACGGACCAGACUCCUACGGGAGGCAGCAGUGAGGAAUCUUGGUCAAUGGACGGAAGUCUGAACCAGCCAUGUCGCGUGAAGGAGGACGGCCCUAAGGGCUGUAAACUUCUUUUGCAGCGGAAUAAAGUAUUCCACGGGAUGGGAUAUUGCAAGUACGCUGCGAAUAAGGAUCGGCUAACUCCGUGCCAGCCGCCGCGGUAAUAC